rnacentral:lncRNA from 1 species
UGGUGAAACCCUGUCUCUACUAAAAAUACAAACAUUAGCCAGGUGUAGUGGCAUGUGCCUAUAAUCCCAGCUACUCAGGAGGCUGGGGCAGGAGAAUCUCUUAAACCUGGGAGGUGGAGUUUGCAGUGAGCCAAGAGUGUGCCACUGCUCUCCAGCCUGGGCAACAGAGCAAAACUCUGUGUCAUAGAUAGAGAAAAUAGUAUCUUUUCAACAAAUGAUAAUGGGACAAUUGGAUAUCCACAUGCAAAAAAAAGAUUAACUUAGACCCUUACCUUAUACCUUAUACAAAACUUCAUUCAAAAUGAACCAGAGACAUUAAUGUAAGAGUGGAAGCUAUAAAACUUUUAGAAUAAAGCAUACAAGAAAAUGGUAAAAUCUUGGGUUCAGCAAAGGUUUUUUAGACGUGACCCGAGAAGCAUGAUCCAUAAAAGAAAAAUAAUUAACAAAUUUGACUUAACCAAAAUGCAUUAUUUUGGGGUUGAGGGGGAACUGGGUGAAGGAUACAUGGGACAUCUCUCUACCACUCUUGCAACUUCCUGUGAACCCUUAAUUAUUUCCAAAUAAAAAGCUAUUCUUUUCUUUCUUUAGAGAGAGUGCCUCACUCUGUCACACAAGCUGGAGUGCAGUGGUGUGAUUAUAGCUCACUGCAGCUAUAAUUCAAGUGAUCCUCCUGCCUCAGCCUCCCAAGUAGCUGGGACUAAAGGCACAUGCCACCAUACCUGGCUAAUUUUUUUUUAAUUGUAGAGAAGGGAGUCUUGCUAUGUUGCACAGAGUGGAAAAUAAAAAGUAUUUUAAGAAAGAAAUAACUUUUGCCCUCAAAAGACACCAUUAAGGUAAUGAAAAGCGGCCAGGCAAGGUGGCUCAUGCCUGUAAUCCCAGCACUUUGGGAGGCCAAGGAGGGCGGAUCAUUUGAGCUCAGGAGUUGGAGAUGAGUCUGGCCAACAUGACAAAACCCUGUCUCUACCAAAAAUACAAAAACUAGCCAGGCAUGGUGGUGGGCGCCUGUAAUCCCAGCUACUCAGGAGGCUGAGGCGGGAGAAUCACUCGAACCUGGGAGGUAGAAGUUGCAGUGAGCCAAGAUUGUGCCAGUGCACUCCAGCCUGGGCAACAGAGUGAGACUCUGUCAAAAAAAAAAAAAAAAAAAGAAGGAAAGAAAAGAAAGAAAGAAAAAGAGAAAGAGAGAGAGGGAGGAAGGAAGGAGAGAGAGAAAGAAAGAAGAGAGAAAGAAAGAAAGAGAAAGAAGGAAGGAAGGAAGAGAAAAGCCACAGACAGGGAGAAAGUAUUUGGAAAUCACAUACAUUGCAAAAAAACUUGUACCCAGAAUAUACAAAGAACUCUUAAAAACAAACCAAAUAAAAAAAGACUCAAUUUUAAAAUGCGCAAAAGAUUUCAAUAGACAUUUUUCAAAGAAGAUAUACAAAUGGCAAAUGAAAAGAUGCUUCACAUCGUCAGUCAUUAAGGAAAUGCAAAUUUAAAACAUAAUGAGAUACCAUUUCACAUCCACCAGGAAGGCUAUAAUCAAAAAGACAAACAGUAGCAAGUGCUAGCAAGGAAGUAGUGAAACAAGAAUUCUCGUUCCUUACCUGCGGGAAUGUGAGUUAGCAUAUAGCCAUUUUGGAAAACCAUUUUUUAUUUUUUAUUUAUUUAUUUAUUUUUGAGACAGAGUUUCGCCCUCUCGCCUAGGCUGUAGUGAACUGGCUUGAUAUCAGCUCACUGCAACCUCCACCCCCCAGGUUCAAGCGAUUCUCCUGCCUCAGCCUCCUGAGCAGCUGGAAUUAUAGGCAGCCACCAGCACGCUCAGCUAAUUUUUUUUGUAUUUUUAGUAGAGAUGGGGUUUCGCCAUGUUGGCCAGGCUGAUCUCAAACUCCUGACCUCAGGUGAUCCACCCGCCUAGGCCUCCCAAAGUGCUACUAUUACAAGUGUGAGCCACCGGGUCUGGCCGGAAAACCAUUUUUCAGUUGCUCAAAAGGUUAAGUAUAAUUUUUUUAUACAACUCAGCAAUUCCAUUCCUACGUAUCUACUCAAGAGAAAUAAAACAUAUGUGCACACAAACACUUGUACAUUAAUGUUAUAGCAGCAUUAUUCAUAAUAGCCAAAAAGUGGAAACAGGCUAAAUGUCUAAAAACUGGUGAAGGGAUAAACAAAAUGUAGGAGAUCCUUAAUGGAAGACAAAUCCUAACAGAAAGCAGUAAAAUACUUAUAUGAGCUAUAUCACGAAUGAUAUAGCAUAACUUCAAAACAUUAUGCUAAGUGAAAAAAGCCACGCGUGAAAGGUUAUAUAUUAUAUGAUUCUACAUAUAUGAAAUGUCCAGAAAAGGCAAAUCUAUGGAGACAGGAAAAUAGAUUCAUGUUUGCCUAGGGUUAACGGAUAUGAAGAAGCUUCAUAAAAAGAUAUGAUCUUAUUGGAAUGAUGAAAAAAACAUUUUCAACCUAGAUAUGGUGGGCUGGGCAUGGUGGCUCACGUCUGUAAUCCCAGCACUUUGGGAGGCUGAGGCAGGAGGAUCGCUUGAGUCCAGGGGUUCGAGACCACCCUGGAUAAUAUAGCAAAACCCUGUCUCUACAAAAAAGUAAAAAAUUAGCUGAGCAUGGUGGUGCACACCUUGUAGUCCCAGCUACUCAGGAGGCUGAAGUGGGAUCACUUGAGCCCAGGAUGUCAAGGCUGCAGUGAGCCAAGAUAGUACCACUGUACUCCAACCUGGGCAACAGAGUAAGACCCUGUCAAAAAAAAAAAAAAAAAAACACCCACUACAUAUGGUGAUGGUUGUACAACUUGGUGAAUUUACUAAAAAUUAUUGUCUACAUAAGAUGGGUGAAUUUGUGGUAUACAAAUUAUACUUCAAUAAAAGUAUGUUUUAAAAGAGACAAAAAAGCCAAUUAAAUAUUUAUAUUAGCUUUUAUUGUUUUUUCUUUCCAUAAAAAUAAAACAUAUCUGUUAAGAAAUUUUAGGAAAUACAAAGAAACAGAAAGAAGAAAAUGUAAACCAUCCACCCUUCCAUCUUCAGAUAAGCAUUUUUGACAUUUUGGCAUAUAACUUUAUAAUUUUUCUUUCCAUAGGAAUGUAGGUUGAAAAAUAAAAACACUCUCUAUCCCUUCCCCCAGACAGAAUCUAGUAUACCUUUACAACCAUCCCUGCAAAGCUUCAGUUGAAAUAUGAACAGGCAAAUGGAGGCAAUUUUGGACGGGCAAAGGGGAAAGCUGAGCUCAGACUGGGUGUCAAGGACGGAAAGAGCUGAACGGUUCUGCCUAAGCAAGAAGGGGGUGCUCUGAGAGGGAGGCCACAAAGAAAGUCCUAACUUAAAUAUUAAAAAUAAAAAAAAAAUUUAAAAAACCAGAGCCUGAAACAAGGACUUGUGUGCAGGUGUGUACGUAAUUUAUUUGAGAGGCGAUCCCAGCGAGCAGGAGUGAGAAAAGGUGGAGAGUAAGAGAGCGACGGUGCAAACAUCAGUAGAAGGUGGGGCAUCAAGGUUGUCCCUGUGCACCUGAUUUGUCCAGCCCCUCCUGAGGAGCCUGCAGAAUGCUUCCCAAUGGCCCACCUAAAUUCAGGAAGAGAGAUACGGCAUGGUAUUUACCUACUAGUUCCUGACACCCAGUCAUUAAAGGUUGCCUGUGGGUGUGUUAACCCCCACACUUCCAAGCUGUGCUCACCCAGGCAGAUUUACCUUCAGUGGAAAGUGAACAGACUCAGGCCAGGCAUAUUCUUAUUUCAGAGAUAAUAAGAUGUGAAAAGUCACUGUCUUGGAAUUGAUGAAAAUCAGUACACAAUUUAGAACUAUUUGCAUUACUCUAAUGUGAUGACCCCCAUCUCCAUAAACCUUUAAUAAAGUCUGCUAAAUAUGUAACACUAUGUGUGGCUGAUUUUUUGUGGAAAUUAGGGAGAAUAGAUGAAUUUCAAGUCUGAAUUAGUGUGAAUUAAAGAGGAGCAUGCUUUGAAUAUCAAGAUGAUCCUUGUUGGAGGCAGCAAGCCAUAGAACCAAAGUUUUCCCAGAGUCUCGAGAAUCUGAAGAAACUUUGAGAACAACACUGAACUUUACUCAGAUGGGGGUUAGAGCCAAUCUUAAGAUCCUAAUAGACAGGGAGAGUACUUCUGUAAAAAAAAAUACAGAACAAGCAUCAGAUAAACAGACUGUUUUAUGUCCUUUCCCUCUUAAUUACUUAGUUUGAUCACUUUUUUUUUAUUGGCUAGAAUCUGACAUCAGUCUUUGCCAAUUUGGGUCUUAGAAAAUUAAAUCUGAAGCUGAAUAUGGUGGCACACGUCAUAUAGUCCCAGCUACUCAGGAGGCUGGGGUGGGAGGAUCACUUGAGCCCAGGAGGUCGAACUGCAGUGAGCCAUGCUUGUGCCACUGUGCUGUACCCUGGGUGACAUAGCAAGACCCUGUCUCUAAAAUAAAAAAAAUUACAUUAAAAAAUUUUUUAAAGAAGGAAACUAAAGGAUUGAGUCAUGCCCUUUUCUUUCUUUUUCUUUCUUUCUUUCUUUCUUUCUUUCUUUUUCUCACUCUUUCUUUCUCUCUCUCUCUCUCUCUUUCUUUCUUUUCUUUUCUAUUUUUGAGACAGGGUCUCACUCUUGUCACUCAGACUGGACUGCGGUGGCAUGAUCAUGGUUCACUGUAGCCUCAAACCUGUGGACUUAAGGGAUUCUCCCACCUCAGUCUCUCGAGUAGCUGGGACUACAGGUGUGCAAGGUAAUGCCCUGCUGACUUUUUUAUUUUUUGUAGAGACAAUGUUCCACUAUGUUGCCCAGGCUGGUUUUAAACUCCUGGGCUCAAGUAAUCCUCCCACCUCGGCCUCCCAAAGUGCUGGGAUUAUAGGUGUGAGCCACUGCACCCAACCCCAUUCAUUUUCUCAGCUUCUUUGGUCUCGCUUCUUUAUAUGUUGACUUCUUAUAAUAUGAUGUGGACAUUUAAAGAUGCAGUGUGAAAUGAUGAAAUGAGGAGAAUGGGUUUUGCAGACACACAACCUUGUUUUAUAUCUUGUUCCAUAACCCAAGGCUUGUCCCAAAACCAAGUACAAAGUGUACUUUGGACACAAUCUCUCUGAGGCUUGGUUUUCUUACAUGUAAAUGGGAAUGAUAAGAAAUACCUACCUCAUAAGAUGGUUGUACGGAUUAAAUGAGAUAAAGCUCCCAGUGGUAUCUGGUACUGGAACACCAUAGCUAAGAAGUAUUAUUUCCCGGCCGGGCGCGGUGGCUCACGCCUGUAAUCCCAGCACUUUGGGAGGCCGAGGCG